AGAACGAACGCUGGCGGCAUGCCUAAUACAUGCAAGUCGAACGAACUCUUCGGAGUUAGUGGCGCACGGGUGCGUAACGCGUGGGAAUCUGCCCCUUGGUUCGGAAUAACAGUUGGAAACGACUGCUAAUACCGGAUGAUGACGAAAGUCCAAAGAUUAUCGCCAAGGGAUGAGCCCGCGUAGGAUUAGCUAGUUGGUGAGGUAAAGGCUCACCAAGGCAACGAUCCUUAGCUGGUCUGAGAGGAUGAUCAGCCACACUGGGACUGAGACACGGCCCAGACUCCUACGGGGAGCAGCAGUAGGGAAUACUUGGACAAAGUGGGCGCGAAAGCCCUGAAUCCCAGACAAUGCCCGGCGUUGAGUGAGUAGAAGGCCGUUAAGGGGUUGGUAAAGUCGUACCUUUUACCCGAAGUAUAGAUAAUAGAC
rnacentral:rRNA from 1 species